rnacentral:rRNA from 1 species
CGGGUAGAGUAAUGCGUGACCAACCUGCCCCAUGCUCCCAGAAUAGCUCUUGGAAACGGGUGGUAAUGCUGGAUGCUCCAACUUGACGCAUGUCUUGUUGGGAAAGUGUUUAGUGGCAUGGGAUGGGGGUCGCGUCCUAUCAGCUUGUAGGCGGGGUAAUGGCCCACUUAGGCUUCGACGGGUAGCCGGCCUGAGAGGGCGGACGGCCACAUUGGGACUGAGAUACGGCCCAGACUCCUACGGGAGGCAGCAGCC